GGAGGAGACAACGGUAAAGAAGGAGACAACGGUAAAGAAGGAGACAACGCCAAGGACUUGUAUGCGGUCAUUGACUUAAGAAGGAGGGGAGACCAACAUGAUGUUAUCCACUCAAUGCAAACAAAAGGCAUGGAGAUGGGAAACACAGCUUUGCUGAGACCGCAGGGGAGACAGUUUCUGAGCAGAUGCGGUGCUAGGUUUUUUGUUCGAUAAUUUCCCCCCUCAGUUCUGAGGUCUGGGCAUCUUCCCCCUCGGGAGACUGAAAAGAUUUGGCAUGGGUCCUCAGAUCCUCAAAAGGUUCUAGAGCUGCACCAUCAAGAGCAUCCUGAUUGGUUGGAUCACUGCCUGGUAUGGCAACUGCUCAGCCAGGAGGUGUCAGAGGAAGGCCCUAAAAAUGGUCAAAGACUCCAGCCACCCUAGUCAUAGACUGUUCUCUCUGCUACCGCACGACAAGCGGUACCGGAGCGCCAAGUCUAGGUCCAAAAGGCUUCUUAACAGCUUCUACCUCCCAAGCCAUAAGACUCCUGAACAGCUAAUUAAAGGGCUACCCAGACCAUUCUUUUACUCUGCUGCUACUCUCUGUUUAUUUUCUAUGCAUAAUCACUUUAACUCUACC
ensembl:lncRNA